rnacentral:lncRNA from 1 species
AGAAUAUGUAAUUUGCUCAUGGUCCACAGCCUACAUUCUUCAGUAUGUGCAGGGAAGACCUGGUGGGAUCUUCACUAUGGGGCCAAAGCAGAUACUUCUGCCUCUGAAUGUUUUCAGAAGAGUAACUUCUGCUCCUCUCUCUCCCAACCUUGUGGAGGAGUGACCUGAUGGCUAAAUUGAGAAUAGAACUGCAAUUCAUGGUUCUCUCUCUGUAAGUAACUGUCUGCCCACAAAGCAGCUGUGUUCCACCCGGCUUCAGCUUCCAUGGGCUGAGCACACUGGGUCAGGCCCGAGGCCCACCUUGCAGGCUGAGUCUGGAGGAAAAUCUCUGUCCUUGA